ACACAUGCAAGUCGAGGGGCAGCAUUUUAGUUUGCUUGCAAACUGAAGAUGGCGACCGGCGCACGGGUGAGUAACACGUAUCCAACCUGCCGAUAACUCCGGAAUAGCCUUUCGAAAGAAAGAUUAAUACCGGAUAGCAUACGAAUAUCGCAUGAUAUUUUUAUUAAAGAAUUUCGGUUAUCGAUGGGGAUGCGUUCCAUUAGUUUGUUGGCGGGUAACGGCCCACCAAGACUACGAUGGAUAGGGGUUCUGAGAGGAAGGUCCCCCACAUUGGAACUGAGACACGGUCCAAACUCCUACGGGAGGCAGCAGUGAGGAAUAUUGGUCAAUGGGCGAGAGCCUGAACCAGCCAAGUAGCGUGAAGGAUGAAGGCUCUAUGGGUCGUAAACUUCUUUUAUAUGGGAAUAAAGUUUUCCACGUGUGGAAUUUUGUAUGUACCAUAUGAAUAAGGAUCGGCUAACUCCGUGCCAGCAGCCGCGGUAAUACGGAGGAUCCGAGCGUUAUCCGGAUUUAUUGGGUUUAAAGGGAGCGUAGGUGGAUUGUUAAGUCAGUUGUGAAAGUUUGCGGCUCAACCGUAAAAUUGCAGUUGAAACUGGCAGUCUUGAGUACAGUAGAGGUGGGCGGAAUUCGUGGUGUAGCGGUGAAAUGCUUAGAUAUCACGAAGAACUCCGAUUGCGAAGGCAGCUCACUAGACCGUCACUGACACUGAUGCUCGAAAGUGUGGGUAUCAAACAGGAUUAGAUACCCUGGUAGUCCACACAGUAAACGAUGAAUACUCGCUGUUUGCGAUAUAUAGUAAGCGGCCAAGCGAAAGCAUUAAGUAUUCCACCUGGGGAGUACGCCGGCAACGG
rnacentral:rRNA from 1 species